CCUACGGGCGGCAGCAGUGGGGAAUAUUGCACAAUGGGGGAAACCCUGAUGCAGCGACGCCGCGUGAGUGAAGAAGUAAUUCUUUAUGUAAAGCUCUAUCUGUAGGGAAGAAAAUGACGGUACCUGUGUAUGAAUCCCCGGCUAACUACGUGCCAGCAGCCGCUGUAAUACGGAGGGGGCCAGCGUUAUCCGGAUUUACUGGGCGUAAAGGGAGCGUAGACGGGAGUGCAAGUCUGGAGUGAAAGGCGGGGGCUCAACCCCCGGACUGCGCUGGAAACUGUACGGCUGGAGUGCAGGAGAGGUAGGUGGAAUUCCUAGUGUAGCGGUGAAAUGCGUAGAUAUUAGGAGGAACACCAGUGGCGAAGGCGGCUUACUGGACUGUAACUGACGUUGAGGCUCGAAAGCGUGGGGAGCAAACAGGAUUAGAUACCCGGGUAGUC
rnacentral:rRNA from 1 species